CUUACACAAGCUUACAAAAGGGCAAUGAAAAGCAGUGAAUAGUAUAAGAAUGCUAACUGGCCUUACAAAAAAGUACCAUAGUGACCACAGUUACCACUGAAAUACCAUUUAUAUAUGUUUUAUUACAUGUUGUUACUAAAUUAAGUUAACUGUGGUAACUUCAAAAUGGUAACUUUACACCUACUCUCGUUAAAACGACAGAAAGGUUAAUUUAGUUAAUUAUUAUCGGACACAUACUUAAGGGAGAUGAGAAAAGUAAGAGCCACUAAAUCGUGGUGCGAGUAGACGUCACCGAAGUGGUCGGAAACGUUCUUUCUCUAGUUCCGCAGGUGACAUCAUGUGUAGGCGUCACGGGGAAUUUUGCCUCAGACUUUAGUGUAACCACAGACUACACCGUGCUCUGAUUGGUCGGCGCAUUAUGUGCUGGGCGGAGUCAAUAUACAUCGGAUGGGGACCCAUCGUACUAAUCUGAGAAUCAGUCUCCACUUUCCAGCACUCUUCACAGAGAACCACAGGAUGUCUGCAGCAAACUGUUCAGAGCUGGAUCUGGAGCUGGGAGACUUGCUGCAGGAGUUUAAUGAUGUGGUGGAGGAGCUGAGCACACCUCACGCCUCUGAACAUGUGCUGGGAGAUGUGCAGAGACACACAGCAGCGACUGAUGGAGACGACUCAGACUACUGCAGCGAAGCUUCGCUGGUAAACAGCUUGAAUGUCAGUCAAGAGGAGCUCAACAUCUCAAGCAUGACUACAGCCUCAAAAGCCAGGCUCGGGGACACCAGUGACCUACAGAGCUUCAUUGAAAACCUGGAUAGAGAGCUUGCAGAGAUGUGAGAUGACAGGACACACGUGAUCAGAGAGAACGCUGAGCACCUGAAGAGCUGCCAUUUAGCAAAGCAUGAUCUCUGCUUCCACACCUAGAAAUUGAGCUGAAGAAAAAGGCUUCACUUUUCCCCCUUCACUAAGGAACAAGAGCUCACUGUGUGUUUUUAAUUUGUCAAGACCCUUUGGAAGAAUUACCAAGUUUCUCAGAAGAUGUUUUAUUUUAAUACAUUUAUAUGAAAAGCACAGUGCCUUGUAAGUUAUGACGAUUAAUGUUAAUACCUAUUUUUCACUUUUUUAAGAUUGUAAAAAUAUCAGUGUUACCAGGUUCAGUGCAAUGUGUAAUAUUAUUUUAACCUUGUAAAGAAUUUUUAAUAAUAAAAGUUUUUGCAUUAAACA
ensembl:lncRNA